rnacentral:rRNA from 1 species
GGGCUGUGAGUACGGGCUCACCAGGCGACGACGGGUAGCCGGCCUGAGAGGGCGACCGGCCACACUGGGACUGAGACACGGCCCAGACUCCUACGGGAGGCAGCAGUGGGGAAUAUUGCACAAUGGGCGAAAGCCUGAUGCAGCGACGCCGCGUGAGGGAUGACGGCCUUCGGGUUGUAAACCUCUUUCAGCAGGGAAGAAGCGAGAGUGACGGUACCUGCAGAAGAAGCGCCGGCUAACUACGUGCCAGCAGCCGCGGCCA